rnacentral:rRNA from 1 species
CGUAUUAUUUCGCCGGUCCUACCCGGGGGCCACCCGUGCCCCGUGAGUGUUGACGGCUUCGGGUUGUAAAGCUCUUUCGGCCGGGAAGAAAUCGUGUUCUCUAACAUAGGACAUGGAUGACGGUACCGGACUAAGAAGCACCGGCUAACUACGUGCCAGCAGCCGCGGUAAUACGUAGGGUGCGAGCGUUAAUCGGAAUUACUGGGCGUAAAGCGUGCGCAGGCGGUUUUGUAAGACAGAUGUGAAAUCCCCGGGCUUAACCUGGGAACUGCGUUUGUGACUGCAAGGCUAGAGUACGGCAGAGGGGGGUGGAAUUCCUGGUGUAGCAGUGAAAUGCGUAGAUAUCAGGAGGAACACCGAUGGCGAAGGCAGCCCCCUGGGCCUGUACUGACGCUCAUGCACGAAAGCGUGGGGAGCAAACAGGAUUAGAUACCCUGGUAGUCCACGCCCUAAACGAUGUCGACUAGUCGUUCGGAGCAGCAAUGCACUGAGUGACGCAGCUAACGCGUGAAGUCGACCGCCUGGGGAGUACGGCCGCAAGGUUAAAACUAAAAGGGAAUUGA